GAUCCUGGCUCAGGAUGAACGCUAGCUACAGGCUUAACACAUGCAAGUCGAGGGGCAGCAUCGCGAUAGCUUGCUAUUGCGGAUGGCGACCGGCGCACGGGUGAGUAACGCGUAUCCAACCUUCCCGCAACUGGGGAAUAACCUUGCGAAAGUAAGACUAAUACCCCAUGGUCUCCACGGAUGGCAUCUGAAAUGGAGUAAGGGUUUCGGCCGGUUGCGGAUGGGGAUGCGUCCGAUUAG
rnacentral:rRNA from 1 species